rnacentral:rRNA from 1 species
AUGUGGUUUAAUUCGAUGCAACGCGAAGAACCUUACCUACUCUUGACAUCCAGAGAACUUUCCAGAGAUGGAUUGGUGCCUUCGGGAACUCUGAGACAGGUGCUGCAUGGCUGUCGUCAGCUCGUGUUGUGAAAUGUUGGGUUAAGUCCCGCAACGAGCGCAACCCUUAUCCUUUGUUGCCAGCGGUUCGGCCGGGAACUCAAAGGAGACUGCCAGUGAUAAACUGGAGGAAGGUGGGGAUGACGUCAAGUCAUCAUGGCCCUUACGAGUAGGGCUACACACGUGCUACAAUGGCGUAUACAAAGAGAAGCGACCUCGCGAGAGCAAGCGGACCUCAUAAAGUACGUCGUAGUCCGGAUUGGAGUCUGCAACUCGACUCCAUGAAGUCGGAAUCGCUAGUAAUCGUAGAUCAGAAUGCUACGGUGAAUACGUUCCCGGGCCUUGUACACACCGCCCGUCACACCAUGGGAGUGGGUUGCAAAAGAAGUUGGUAGCUUAACCUUCGGGAGGGCGCUUACCACUUUGUGAUUCAUGACUGGG